rnacentral:rRNA from 1 species
GCUUGUCUCAAAGAUUAAGCCAUGCAUGUCUUAGUGUAAAUAACUCUUAUGAAACUGCGAAUGGCUCAUUAAAUCAGUUAUCAAAUACGUGAUGGUCGCCUACUACAUGGAUAACCGUAGUAAUUCUAGAGCUAAUACAUGCACAAAGGCCCACGCAAGUGGGUUGUGAUUAUUAGAUUCAAACCGGCCUCGUUCUGGUGAUUCAUAAUAAUUGGUCGAACCGCAUGCCCUUGUGGUGGCGGUGAUUCAUCCUUAUUUCUGCCCUAUCAACUUUCGACGGUAGGAUAGAGGCCUACUGUGGUGAUAACGGGUAACGAAGAAUAAGGGUUCGAUUUCGGAGAGGGAGCCUGAGAAACGGCUACCACAUCCAAGGAAGGCAGCAGG